rnacentral:rRNA from 1 species
AUUGAACGCUGGCGGCAGGCCUAACACAUGCAAGUCGAGCGGAUGAAGGGAGCUUGCUUCUGGAUUCAGCGGCGGACGGGUGAGUAAUGCCUAGGAAUCUGCCUGGUAGUGGGGGAUAACGUCCUGAAACGGGCGCUAAUACCGCAUACGUCCUGAGGGAGAAAGUGGGGGAUCUUCGGACCUCACGCUAUCAGAUGAGCCUAGGUCGGAUUAGCUAGUUGGUGGGGCAAAGGCCUACCAAGGCGACGAUCCGUAACUGGUCUGAGAGGAUGAUCAGUCACACUGGAACUGAGACACGGUCCAGACUCCUACGGGAGGCAGCAGUGGGGAAUAUUGGACAAUGGGCGAAAGCCUGAUCCAGCCAUGCCGCGUGUGUGAAGAAGGUCUUCGGAUUGUAAAGCACUUUAAGUUGGGAGGAAGGGCAGUAAGUUAAUACCUUGCUGUUUUGACGUUACCAACAGAAUAAGCACCGGCUAACUUCGUG